GACGAACGCUGGCGGCGUGCCUAAUACAUGCAAGUUGAGCGCUGAAGGUUGGUACUUGUACCGACUGGAUGAGCAGCGAACGGGUGAGUAACGCGUGGGGAAUCUGCCUUUGAGCGGGGGACAACAUUUGGAAACGAAUGCUAAUACCGCAUAAAAACUUUAAACACAAGUUUUAAGUUUGAAAGAUGCAAUUGCAUCACUCAAAGAUGAUCCCGCGUUGUAUUAGCUAGUUGGUGAGGUAAAGGCUCACCAAGGCGAUGAUACAUAGCCGACCUGAAAAGGUGAUCGGCCACAGUGGGACUGAGACACGGCCCAAACUCCUACGGGAGGCAGCAGGAGGGAAUCUUCGGGAAAUGACGAAAGGCUGACCGAGCAACGCCGCGGGAGUGAAGAAGGGUUUCGGAUCGUAAAACUCUGUUGGUAGAGAAGAACGUUAGUGGGAGUGGAAAGCUCAUCAAGUGACGGUAACUACCCAGAAAGGGACGGCUAACUACGUG
rnacentral:rRNA from 1 species